rnacentral:rRNA from 1 species
GAUGAACGCUGGCGGCGUGCCUAAUACAUGCAAGUCGAGCGAACAGACGAGGAGCUUGCUCCUCUGACGUUAGCGGCGGACGGGUGAGUAACACGUGGAUAACCUACCUAUAAGACUGGGAUAACUUCGGGAAACCGGAGCUAAUACCGGAUAAUAUAUUGAACCGCAUGGUUCAAUAGUGAAAGACGGUUUUGCUGUCACUUAUAGCUGGAUCCGCGCCGCAUUAGCUAGUUGGUAAGGUAACGGCUUACCAAGGCAACGAUGCGUAGCCGACGGGAGAGGGUGAUCGGCCACACGGGAACUGAGACAGGGUCCAGACUCCUACGGGAGGCAGCAGUAGGGAAUCUUCCGCAAUGGGCGAAAGCUUGACGGAGCAACGCCGCGUGAGUGAUGAAGGUCUUCGGAUCGUAAAACUCUGUUAUUAGGGAAGAACAAAUGUGUAAGUAACUAUGCACGUCUUGACGGUACCUAAUCAGAAAGCCACGGCUAACUACGUG